AGAGUUUGAUCCUGGCUCAGAAUCAACGCUGGCGGCGUGCCUCAGACAUGCAAGUCGAACGAUUAAACUUUUCUUCGGAGAAGAUAUAAAGUGGCGCACGGGUGAGUAACACGUAGGUAAUCUACCUUUGAGUGGGGAAUAACGUUCGGAAACGAACGCUAAUACCGCAUAAUGCAGCGGCACCGCAAGGUGACAGUUGUUAAAGGAGCAAUCCGCUUAAAGAGGAGCCUGCGGCAGAUUAGCUAGUUGGUAAGGUAAUGGCUUACCAAGGCUACGAUCUGUAACCGACCUGAGAGGGUGGUCGGUCACACUGACACUGAAUAACGGGUCAGACUCCUACGGGAGGCAGCAGUCGGGAAUUUUGGGCAAUGGGCGAAAGCCUGACCCAGCAACGCCGCGUGAAGGAUGAAGUAUUUCGGUAUGUAAACUUCGAAAGAAUGGGAAGAAUAAAUGACGGUACCAUUUAUAGGGUCCGGCUAACUACGUGCCAGCAGCCGCGGUAAUACGUAGGGACCAAGCGUUGUUCGGAUUUACUGGGCGUAAAGGGCGCGUAGGCGGCGUGUUAAGUCAGCUGUGAAAUCUCCGAGCUUAACUCGGAACGGUCAGCUGAUACUGAUGUGCUAGAGUGCAGAAGGGGCAAUCGGAAUUCUUGGUGUAGCGGUGAAAUGCGUAGAGAUCAGGAAGAACAUCGGUGGCGAAGGCGCUCUGCUGGACCAUAACUGACACUCAGGGACGAAAGCUAGGGGAGCGAAUGGGAUUAGAUACCCCCGUAGUCC
rnacentral:rRNA from 1 species